GCGGAGGAAAAGAAACCAACAGGGAUUGCCCCAGUAACGGCGAGUGAAGCGGCAAGAGCUCAAAUUUGAAAGCUGGCUCCUUCGGGGUCCGCAUUGUAAUUUGUAGAGGAUGCUUCGGGAGCGGUCCCCAUCUAAGUGCCCUGGAACGGGACGUCAUAGAGGGUGAGAAUCCCGUAUGGGAUGGGGUGUCCGCGCCCGUGUGAAGCUCCUUCGACGAGUCGAGUUGUUUGGGAAUGCAGCUCUAAAUGGGUGGUAAAUUUCAUCUAAAGCUAAAUAUUGGCCGGAGACCGAUAGCGCACAAGUAGAGUGAUCGAAAGAUGAAAAGCACUUUGAAAAGAGAGUUAAAAAGCACGUGAAAUUGUUGAAAGGGAAGCGCUUGCGACCAGACUCGCUCGCGGGGUUCAGCCGGCAUUCGUGCCGGUGUACUUCCCCGCGGGCGGGCCAGCGUCGGUUUGGGCGGUCGGUCAAAGGCCCUCGGAAGGUAACGCCCCUAGGGGCGUCUUAUAGCCGAGGGUGCAAUGCGACCUGCCUAGACCGAGGAACGCGCUUCGGCUCGGACGCUGGCAUAAUGGUCGUAAACGACCCGUCUUGAAACACGGACC
rnacentral:rRNA from 1 species